CUGUGCGGGCUUGGUAGGGUCUGGAUGGAAACAGAAGAGGAUGUUCAGGUGGGCGAGAGCUGCAGAAUUGCCUGGGAGAGGUCUGAGGUGGAAUGCGUAGAUACUGCUGGGAUAUUCGGUGAGAAGGCUGGCCGACAUUGUUUGUGGAGAGCCUAGGGAUUUAGAUUUUAAGUAAGGCAGUAGGAAAUGGAGCAACGCUGACCAUCUUCCUCCUGCCACAUCAUUCCCUCCAUAGAGGAUGACCUCAUCUCUUGGCAGUGCUGGGCCGUCGCGGUGCCCUGUGGCCUGGUACACAUGCCAUAUAGCCUGGUGAGGGCUUGAGAGGUCAUUCUGGCUUGCUGCUCAGGUUCCGGGUCUCCUGGGCCCCUAGGAUCAGGGGGUCAUGAUGAGUCCUAGGGAUGGGCAUGGGCUACAGGUUUACCUGAGGACACUGCAAUGCAAGGGCAUAAGGAAGCAUGGCAGAGCCCCCACCUGUCCUGUUUAUCCUGCACUGUCCUCCAUCCCACCCUGAGCCAGAUAUACAGACAUAAAGGAACACUAAAGGAAAGCCCCCUUACCACUCCCAAACCCACCAAGACUAAAACUGAAAAGAAAAAAUUAAAUUUAACCACUUGCCAGUGUUUUCAAGUGCUUCCUGUGCCCCUAAAGCAUUUUGUGCUGUAACUCUCUGGUGGAGCACGAGGACACACACUGGAAGCCCCCCCAACACUGCUAGUCCCUCUGGGAGCUCCCAUGCUGUGUCAUCAUCACACUCCUGUGCACCCCCACACAAAAAUCUCAUGGUGCUCCUGAUGGUUACACAUGAAGAGGCUGGAGAAAGCGAAUUCACUCACGACAAUUCAUCUGUGAGGAGUCAGGCUGAAUUCAAGAAGCGGAAGCUGCCCUUUUUAGCCUCCCAAGUUGAGCAGGCCCCCUGCUCUCCAGGGUGCCCGCUCUCAGGGGGUGCCUGGACACCUGCCUCCACACACACAGGCCAGCUAGUGUUGACUGGGGGCCAGCCCAGUAGCCUUCCUCAAGAAGGCAAGAGCUGCCCUGCUUUCCCCAGGUGAGAAGUGGAUGACUUAGGGAAGCUCUCUGUACAUCUCCACCCAGAUCCUUUCAAAGGUGUUAAAUGAGGCACAUCGUGCAGCAGCCAUCUGGAUGGCUUCCUGCCUUUCCGUCUCUGCUGGGAGAAGUGCCUGCUUAUUGUCUCCAGUAGUAAUAUGAGCGGCUCUUCUCUCUCCCCCUGCUCCCCAUUCUGUGGGAAUUGCUUCUUCUGUGGAGCCCUGCCAGGGGCUGUUUACAGCAAAACCACCAAACCCUCAUUGGCUUCCAGAUGGUUUUGCUUCCAAAUACAUCUUCCCUUGCAGACGAUGACAAGGUGAUCUCUUCAGCAGGUGAGUUUAGUUCAUGUGUAGGGACUCUAUCCUUUCUACAGCAAAUGUCUGAGGGUAACUUAACAAAAUAAUGGUGCUAAUAAUGACAGCAUUAAUGAUAAUAAAUGCUGACACUGAUUGACUCUUACCAAGUGCCUGGACCAGUGCUAAGCCCUUGUAAGGGGAUCAGUCUCACUUAACAAGUGAGCCCUUAGUUAGCAGGUCAGGAAAGUGAGGCUUAACCCCUAAGUAAUCAGCCCGGGUGCCACAGCUAGUAAGUGGCAGUCCAGAAUUAGAGCCCGGGCAGGUGCCCCAGAACCACGCCUUUAACUACUGCUGUCGGCUCUGUCUUGUCAGGGUCCUGCAGCCCUGGGAAAGAGGCGCCUGUGGUAGUGUGCCCAAGGUGAGGUCCCUGCCUUCACGGAGCACACGGACCAGAAUCAGUUCCCAGCCUACCUUUCCUCUUCCCCUCUUCCAGGCAAGUGCACACGGAAUGGCAGCAGGAGAGUUCUAUCCCUGAUCAUCAAAAAGCUUGAUAAUGUAGUCAAAUGGAGCAGAUGUUAGGCAAAAACGUUCAUGUAUGUUCUGUACACUAUAUAAUUUCCCUCUCCCUGUUGUCCCGGAAUCUGGGAGAUGUCCCAUCUGUUUACAUUCCAAAUUUUUUCCCUAAUUUUUGUUUCUGGAAUGAAAGGGUUAAACCCAGACUUGGUAGAACUUAUUACUUUAAUCCAGGAUUAUGAUAGCUGUGGAAAGAGGUCACUCUGCCCUUUGACCUCCCUGGCUAGAAGAGAAAUGAUGGUUGUCCUGACUUGAGAUCUCGUCCUGCCUGGCUAUGAGGGGAGCUGAGGUCCGAGCUAAGCCGUCUCUCCACCAGGAGACUGGCUUAGGUGGACACCAGAGGGCGAGGGGGCCACAUGCUGCCUUUUGUCCUUGGGAAUCAGUUUAGGAUGCUAAUGUUUAGAGGGAUAGAGGGAUGGGCAGGAAUACUCACGUGAAACUAAUUGCCACCAAAUCAGCUCUUUGUAGGCACUGCUGCUCUUUGGGGCCAAAUAUCUGUGGUGUCAACCCCCAGGGAGAGGAUCUCAAAGUCCCCAUCCCACUCUGAGGUACACCAGACUACCCAGACUCACAGGGUAGCAGUGUGAAUCCUCUCUCCUACCCAAGUCCCGCUGCUUACAGAUGGGGAAACAGGCCCAGGGUGAACUAAACUCAGCCACUUUAUCCCUUUGCCUUACCUGCUGAGCUAAUGAGGCCCAGAUAGGCAAGCUUUCAAGAGAGUGGCGAACGCUGGCUAUUCUUAGGCAGAAUUGCCUUUACCUGGUAGGAAACUUGCAGGAAAUCUGCAGGAGAAGUGUGGGAGCUGGGAUUGUAGGUUAUAGUCCACGAUGGGAAGGGCUAGGCUCUAGGGCUGUGUGCCCUUGGCAGAGGCCAUGGUCAGAUUAUAAACUGGGAAGUCUUCCUCAGAUGGAAGAGUCUGAACCCGUCUGCCUAGCAGUGGUGGCACCUCUUGGGUGGGCCAGCAGGAUGCAGUGCUGGGAGGUGGGCAGUUAGGCUGGGACGGCUACAACCCCCUGCAGCAUGGCACCUGCUUGCCCCCCACUUCUUGGGAGAAAGACCACCAGGCUUGCCUGCCCUGCUGACCUUCUCUGCUCUCUGUGAAGGUGGCUGCCACACUCAGCUGCUACUGCAUGGAUACCUCCAGGCACUCAAAAAGCCCUGCUUUUCUAAUCAGUGAAGAAACCAGCUUUGUCUGCCAGGAACCAAAGCAGAGCAGCUGAUGGAAAAAAAAAAAUUUAACAGCUCCGUGUAGAGGGAGCAGAAAGGAAACAGCGAAGCUGGAAAAUGGCUUAAAAACCUGGGGGCAAGGCCAGUCCUGGCAGCAUCUGGCCAGCUGCCUGGGGGCCCUCCUGCCUGCCCACUGGGUCUUGUGACAAAUGCCCUCUGACAGCCGAGGAACCACAGCUGUCACUGGAAGGCGCGGGCCGGCAGCCAAAGGCCCGCGGCUGCAGGGGCGUCUCCCGGGCUGGGAACCUCAUUAUCUCUGCUGUUGGCGCAGGAGCCCCAGGGGGCACAGCUGCUCUCAGCAGUGUGCUGCAGGAGCUGCCGGCUCGGAGGGCUGUGUACAGGGAGGCCUAUCCUGCCAGAGGAGGCUCCACGGGGCAGCAGGCCUGGAGAUUCACUGUCACAUCACUCCAGUAAACACUCCUGGUUCCAGAACUGUGCCUGGCCCUGCCAGGGUUCAGAGGCACAGAUGGUGCCUUUAUUCUAGCAGUUCUUUUUUUCCUUGGGCCCCCAAAGCAGGAUUAGGUGCAAAUGAUGAAUGACUGGAAAAAGAAAGAAACAAGGACACAAUCAGACUGCCCAGAGCUUGUCUGAGGAAGGACAAGGAGGUCUGAGAGUUGUGGCAUUUUCCACUCAUGUCUCUGUCAUCCAGGAAACUACUUGCUAUUUUCCACCUGUCAGGAUGAGGCCCCUUUCUUCAGGUGAUAUAUGGGGUGGAUAAUGCGUGGGCUUGUGCAGGCUGCAGUUCAAGUUUGAGCCCCCGCUGAGCCUCCACAUUCCUGAGUUCUCUUUCUGUGGAUCCUGGUAAGGAUGGCCCAGUGUUUGUGAUAGUGAGGACGGGCAGUCACAGGGGAUGCUGAAGUGCCAUUGAAGAGUCUGUCUAACUCUCGCCACGAACACCCUCUGCACCCGGGGAGGGGAGGGGAUGCAGGAUGUGGGAUGGAUGCUGGAGGCAGUGGGACUGGCUGUCGUCUGCCCUGCUCACGAUUGAUGUCCAACCUUGAGCACGGUGCCCAAGGCCCCUCUGCUUUGGAACACCCUCAUCUGUCGGGGGAGCACCUGCCCUCGGCCCAUGGAGAGAAACGUGUUGGUGGGGGGGCCAUGGAGCUGCUGUCAUUGCUGUCACCCGGAGCUGGCUGUAUGUUACUGUCCCGGAGAUGGUUUUGAAAAGCGGCUGCUGUCAUUUUCUGUAGCUCUGGACUGGCAGGGGCAGGGGCAGUGGCACCUCUGGUAGGUGGUGAGGCCUGGUAAAGGACCUUUAUUAUUAUGAAAAUCAAGCCAUUUGCUGACUUGCUGUGGGUCCACCUUAAUAUCUCCCAGGCCUCAAUUGAUGCCUGAUGUGUUUGGAUCAGGGCUGAGGCAAGAAAACACCAGGACUUAGAAAAAUGUCGUUCCCCCACAGGAGCAGAACUGUGAUGGGCAGAGCCCUGAUUCCUUGUGUUUGUGGUGGGAGCUCAGGGUGGUGCUGUGUGAGCUUGCGUGGGUAUGUGCAAGUGCAGGGAGACAGAAGGAGAGAGGGAGGUGGAGCAUGGAAGACCAUCUGGCUGGGCACAGGCCCAGCCCAACAACCCUGGGCCCUUUUCUCCCCUCCUCCCAGAUAACUCCUGCUGUCUGCCAUGGGAAGGAACAAUAGAAUAAUAACCUGGAAACUCCUCUACCCUUUUCUAGAUACACCUGAGGUCUCUCCCUGCAGCCCCUGAGCAGAUGUCCAAAGUGGGCCAGCUCCCUAGACCUGUCUGGAGUCACUCGGGGGCCAUAUCCCGGUCCCAGGCCCCAGGCUGGGUGCCAUCUGUGUGGAAGCCAGACGAGGAAGGUGGCACAUGCAGGGCUUUUCUGGCACAGCUGUGCUCGACACUGUUAAAGCCCUCCUAAUCCAUGUUAUUUGUUUCUAAUCCCUCUCCCACCUCUCUGGCCUGCGUGCCACUCUGCAGGACCUUUGGUCCCAAGUCGGAGCCUGUACUGAGCCCCAGGCAUGAGAAGGCCACGCAUCUGCUGCGGCAUGCCCGCAUGAAGGCCAGGACCCAGCCUCUCCGUGCCAGCCAUGAGAUCAUGCCCACCAUUGCCCAGGGCAGCCGAGAUGGUGGGAGAAGCCCAGCCUUGGACCCGAGAAUGACCUUUGCCUUCAGAGACAAUCUCCAGAACGGGAAUACGAGUGACUCCUCCAGCGGAGAGUCCAGCAGCGGGCAGUGGCCCAAGCCCGGCACCUCGCCAUCCCACGUCCGCUUUGAGGACGAGUCGGCCUGUGAUGCCGAGUCCCGCUACCUGGAGAGGCUGCAGCAGCGCCAGCGCCAGGUGCUGAGCUCUGCACUGCAAAGGGUGGAUCCGGGCCCCCUGCGCUGCAAGCCCAACCUUGCCCACUACAUAAGUGGGGGCUGCCGGUGCAGGGACGCAGGCAAAGGGCCCCUUUGCAGGCUUGUGGGCAGCCAGGACCAGAGGGGCCUCCUGGCACCGCCUCCCGCCCCGGGCAGUGAGGGGAAGUGCUGUGCCUGCAGCAGCCGCAUGGAGGACCCACACCUUGGCCAGGGGCAGGCACCCCCAGGUCCUCGGGUACUCCAGGAACGUGAGGCCGCCUGUGGGGUGGAGGAGGUGCAAGUGGAGCCCCUCAGCUCUUGGGGCCCCAGCACCCCAGUGAGGCUCCUCCCUGCUGAGCAGGGGCUCCACACGGAACGCAGCCAGGAAACGCACAUUGGCCACCCACUGCACCCCGAGGAAGUGGACUCUGUCCUGGACAGCACAGACACCUCCGACAGCUGCAGGACCGACAGUGAGGAGGUGGGGACCCCUCAGCCCGGCAAGGCCAGCCGCCCUCGCCUGCGGGGCUCCAGGCCUCGAGGAGGCCCCAGGAAGUUCCGAAAGGCAGAAACAGAGCUGCCGGGGAUCCCUCAGGCCCUGUGCUACUUGUCUGCAGUUGAUCACCUGGAGGUUGGAGAUAAGGGGCAAGAGGGCAGAGGGCAGAUGCCUGAGGGGACUCUGUUUCCCAGAGGAGAUGCCUUCUCAAGGCCUCCAGCCCUGGAAUCUAAAAGGGCUUCCCUGGGGUCCCAGUGGCAGCCUGGACCAGGACUAGGAAGUCACCGUGCUCAGCCCGUGGAUUUCCGGGCUCCGUGCUGGGCAGCCUUUGCCACGACCUCUUGCAUGAAGUUGGGAUCCUCAGGGCCAGGCAGACAAGCCCAGGGUAGAGAAAGCCACCUGUCUCUGGAAACUGUCUGCACUUCCUCCCAACAGACCCAGGCAGAGGUCUGUCAGGCCCAGCAGCCAACCGCUUCCCUCACCCCUGACGACUGGGUGCCAGCCUCACCCUCUUUGAGGAAAACCACUUCACCCGUGUCUCAUGGGAAGGCAGCCCUGGCCGGACCCUGCAGGCUGGGUGACCAGGGAGAGCUUGUGGACACUCCCGUGCCUCCUUCAAGAAGUGUGGUUCUUGGGACCUGUGAACUCGACUCCCUGCAGGCCCAGCCCAGCAGCCCCCUGGUCAGGCACCCACUGCUGGCCUUGUCCACCACCAACUGCAACAACAGUGGGCCCUCUGCGCUGCAGGAGCCCUGGGGAGGAGCCACGCCUGGGGGCAGGGUGGAGAAGGGCCCCUGCAGCCAGGAGCCGGAGCUGCCCCUAGAGAACCGCAGAGAUGGAGGACUCCGGAGCUUUCUGGGCUCAGCAGCUGUUGGCACCACCAACCCCAUGAGCAUUACCCUCUCCCUGACCUCAGAGGAGCCAGAGUCCGGCCAGGAACCAGAGGGAGGCCUGCAGAGGACAGAAUUGAGUUCUGGAGGGCAUGUGUCAUCCCGGUCCUGCAAGCACGCCAUCGCCCCCAUGGUCUCAAGCCCCAGCUCGGGGCGUUUCCUUGGCUGCUUCCUCCUCUCCUGCUCCUGGCUCCCAGCCCCUGCCUGCUCUCAGUCUUCACUCUUGCCUCUACAGUUUCUUGCCUACAUAGCCUCACCAGGGGUCAGUGCAGGAGCUGGCGCACCCUCAGCUGUCCCUUCCAGCAGGAACAAGAAAAGCAGCAGCCUCACCUCCACCCUGGGGCUGAAAAAGCUCUUCUUGGCCCUGGGCCAGGGCACGAGGCCCAGGUUGGGCAAGACCUAUAGCUACAGUGUGGAGCAUCUGCAGCCCCCUGCACCUGGCCUGGCUUCUCACACCAGCACCCCCAAAGUGAAGAGAGCCCCGUCAUUACAAUUCCUGCAUCUGAGGAAACUCAGGUUGACGGCUGGAGUCAGGUUUCUAUCAACCUCUUGCCAGGUGGCGUUUCUCACCUGCAAUACUGGACCUUUCCCACCAGGGGUCACCCUCCAGCCAACAUCGGAAAGCUGCCUCCUUUCAGAACCUCCAUUCUCUGCUGAGCGGCAAGGUGGACCCGUCCAGCCGCUACCUGGUAGGGGAGCCAGGAGAGCACAGUGCAGCUGGCCGGCCAUCCAGGGCCCCGCCCCGGCGUGCCCUCAGCGUGGAGGACGUGAGCGCCCCCAGCCUGGCUCGCACCGUGGGACGCGUGGUGGAGGUGUUCCCUGAUGGCACAAGCCAGCUGCUGCUGCAGCGCUCCCCCAACGGCACUUUUGGCUUCUGUGUGGCCUCUGGGGCCGGACGCCGGGACUCAGGCCAUCCUUCAACAAGCGGAGGGUCACUUCUCCUGGGUCUCAGAGGGGCCGUGAGCUGAGGCUGGUUUGCAUUCCUCACUAAAACAUCGAGAUGCUGGUGUUCAGUUGCUGGCUGUCACAUCUGAUUCUGUGAAGCAUGUGAGAACCGCAGGCUUUGCCUUCUGCUACUAACUCCAUACAACGUAGAGAUCAUGCAGCCUUAACAAAGGCAUUUCCAGCAGACAAUAAAUGCCUACAUGAGCAGUUUCUGUCGUAUUUCUGUCAUGACUUUUAGUUGUGAAACCCACCCCGAGUCUCCCCAUGUCUGGCAUGACAUCAGCGUCUGUCUAGCUCUGGCUGCAUUCUUUAGGGUUUCUCACUGCUCUCCACCUGCACAGCCCGUCCACAAUAGCAGCUGACUCUGCAGGCUCUGCCCCUCGCGUCCUCACCCGCCUCCCCAACAUGCGGACAGGGUGGGCAGACAGUUAAAACACCCAGAUACAAAAGGCAAAAGGCAGGAGCUGAGAGAACAGCCCUGUGCCACCAAGAUGGAGGACUUGCCAUAUUAUGAGGGAGACAGCCUUGCAGGAGAGCUCAGCCUGGCCAAGGAGCACUGGAAGGGAGCCAGGGAGGGGGGAAGUGUCCAAAGAUCAGAUUUGCUAAACCCAGAACUACAAACCUUCAGGUGCUUUGGGGAGCUUUCAAUGCACUUGCAAAUCAAAAUUUCACUCAAAUUUACUAAACCCAGAGCUACAAACCUUCAGGUGCUUUUGGGAGCUUUCAAUGCACUUGCAAAUCAAAAUUUCACUUUUCUGUUAGGGCCAGAAGCUGGGCUGAACAAAAGCUUCUAUGGGGCUGGGUGGGCUGGAGAGAUGAUGGCCGACUAGUCAGAGCCAGCGAGCCUGAGCUGGGGAGCAAUGAGGGGCCCCAGGCAGUACUUAGCUCUGGGUGAGCUCUGCAGGUGUCCAGAGCUGCAUGUCCAUCUGUAUGCUGCACUCCUCCAGGGAGCUGGCCAUGGGCUCUCAGAUCCCUCUGUUCAUGAGCAGCUGGGGGAUAGGCCGGGGGGCCAGCUUUCCCUGCAAGAGCCUGAGCCUCCUUUAAUCUCAGGUGGAAGCAGCUGAAGGGGAGUUUGAAACAAUUUAGCUGAAGUUGAGGCUAGAGGGACUCCCUCAGCUGGUCUCCACUGUGUCACCAGGAGAGCCCAGGGGAACUCGGCCUCACCAGACCGAGGCCCCCCAGAGCCUGCCCCACUGAUGGGUGCCCCGAGCUGGACGGGGGCAAAGAGGAGAAGCAGGUUGUCUCCAGACUCACACUGUCCCUUAGAGACCUGGGAAUGGUCAUACUGGCCAGGCAGGGCCUCAGGGGUCAGUGGUGGGGAGAUGCUGGGUGAAGAAAGGAAAGUGAGCCACCAUGGCUUUCAAUAGGGCAGAAGAAUUUUUAUGUUUUCUGGGCUCUUGCCCAGAUGCCUCCAAAUCCCAAGUGUGGAAGACAUAUCAGAGGAAAACUGAGGCCAGGACUAGUCUUAGACAAUAAUAUGAAGCAAACCAGGUUUGCAUUUGAGCUCAGCCACAUUCGGUACCCCAGUGAUACCCUCCCACCACGCCAGCUACUUGGGGGCAGCAACUGGGCCUCGUUAGUGAAUCCCACUUAGCACAGUGUCAGGCAUGCACUAGGUCUCUUUUACUUUUGUAAACAUUAUUUUCUUCCCUAUUCUACAAUCAAAGCUUAUCUCAGAAAAAGAUCAGCUCAUUCACACUAGGGUAGACAUGAAUAAUAAUACAGCUUAAAGCAUUAUUUUUGCACUAGGGAGAUUUUAAAAGAGGAGCUCGAGAAAUGAAGUUACACCAUGGGGGUGGUUGUAAGGCCAGCUGUAAUUGUGAGGUGGAAUAAUGAGUGAGUGAGUGAAUGAGUGAGUGAGUGAGUGAGUGAGUGAGUGUGUGUGUGUGUGGGUGAGUGAGUGAGUGAGUGAGUGUGUGUGUGUGUGUGUGUGUGUGUGUAGAAGGGCCCUGUCUGAGCACCUGCCCCCACCAUUACUUGGUCAGCAUUCCACAGAGAUGCAGGUCUUCAAUCUGGAUUUUAUGUUGAAUUCUCCUGUUUUCCA